UUUAGGAAACUUGUCCAUGCUCACUGUUCUUCAGCUGUUUGAAAAUCAAUUCUCUGGUUCAAUUCCACCAGAAAUAGGGAAUCUGGUUAAUCUCAAGGAGCUUGACAUGUCUAUUAACCUUCUAACAGGUUCUAUCCCUUCCACUUUAGGGAACUUGACCAACCUUACUGUUUUGUACCUUUCUGACUGUCAAUUAUCUGGUUCCUUGCCUCAAGAAAUGACAAACAUGACAAAUCUUUCUAAACUCCAGUUGGAUGGCAACAACUUCUCUGGCCAUUUACCUCAGUUAUGCCACGGUGGAUCUCUUGAAGCCUUCAUUGCUUUCAACAACCAUUUCACCGGUGAGAUCCCAAGAACCUUCAGAAACUGCACUAGCUUAACAAGAGUGCGACUCAAUGGAAACCGACUUGCUACAAAUGUAUCGGAAGCCUUUGGUGUAUACCCUCACCUCAUAUUCAUGGAUGUCAGUGACAACAUGUUGUUUGGUGAACUCUCACCACAUUGGGGAGAAUGCCAAAACUUAACAAAGCUACAACUCUCCGGGAACAAUAUCACUGGUAGAAUUCCUCCUGAGAUUGGGCAGUUGGGGCAGCUAAGAGUGCUUGAUCUUUCUUCAAACCAUUUAGUAGGAGAGAUUCCAAAGGAAUUUGGGAGGCUGACUUUUUUGUUCAACUUGACUUUAAAUGAUAACCAGUUUUCUGGUCAGUUACCACAAGAGAUUGGAAACCUAUCCAAUUUGGAGAUUCUGGAUCUGUCAAUGAAUCGCCUAAGUGGUCCAAUACCACCUCAAUUAGAGAAUUGCUCCAAACUCCGUUUUCUGAAAUUGAGUGAAAAUGUUUUGAAUGGAAGCAUUCCUUUUCAGAUUGGUAACCUAGUAUACUUACAGAGCUUACUAGAUCUAAGUCAUAACUCCCUCAAUGGAAAGAUACCUCCACAACUCGCGAAAUUGGUUAGUCUGGAAAAUUUAAACCUCUCUCACAACAUGUUGUCAGGUUCCAUUCCGACUUCUUUUGAUGGGUUGGUCAGCUUACAAUCCAUUGAUUUUUCAUACAAUGUUUUGGAGGGUCCUCUUCCUAGCAGCAAAGUCUUUCAGAAGGCUCUGGCAGAGGCAUUCAUAAAAAACAAAGGCUUAUGUGGUGAAGUGUAAGGUUUGCAACCUUGCAACACCUCUUCAGUAAGUUACGGUGAUGCAAAGAAAGGCGACAAAGUUGUGAUCCUCAUUGCUCUUCUCUUCUCAGUAUUGUUUCUUUUAUUUGCAAUCUCUGGCAUAAUUUCUUCCAUUUAUUAUCAAAGAAGAAGAAGAAGAAGAAUAGAAAAAGGGGUUCUUGAAAGGAGCAAAGGAAAUACAUUUUCAACAUGGAAUUAUGAUGGAAUUUCCACAUUUGAAGACAUUGUGGAGGUGACAAAGGGUUUUGAUGAUAAAUACUGCAUUGGAACUGGAGGGUAUGGGAAAGUUUACAAAGCAAAUUUACCAGCAGGCCAGGUAGUAGCCGUGAAGAAACUUCAUCCACUUGAAGAUGGAAAUCAAUCUGAUCAAAAAAGUUUUAGGAAUGAGAUACAAGCAUUAAUGGAAAUCCGUCAUCGCAACAUUGUGAAACUUUAUGGCUUCUGUUCACAUACACAAUGCUCAUUUCUAAUUUACGAGUACAUGGAAAGGGGAAGCUUGGCAAGCAUCCUAAGCAACAAUGAAGGAGCUGCACAGUUGGACUGGACUUCAAGGGUGAAUGUUAUUAAAGGUGUGGCUAAUGCUUUAUCUUACAUGCAUCAUGAUUGUACCCUGCCGAUUGUCCAUCGAGACCUAUCAAGCAACAAUGUUCUAUUGAAUUUAGAACUUGAGGCUAGUGUUUCUGACUUUGGAACUGCACGGUUGCUGAUACCUGAUUCCUCAAAUUGGACUGCACUCGUAGGCACUUGCGGAUACAUUGCUCCAGAGCUUGCAUAUACAAUGAGGGUGACUGAAAAAUGCGACGUAUAUAGCUUUGGUGUUGUGGCACUUGAAGUGAUGAUGGGAAGUCAUCCUGGGGAGCUCAUCUCCUCUUUGUCAUCAUCAAGUAGACAAGAUACACUGCUAAAAGAUAUGUUGGACCAACGUCUCUCAGAUCCGAUGGCUGAUGUUGCACAGGAAGUCUUAUUUGUGGUAUCCAUGGCUCUUGCAUGCAUUCGGCCAGAUCCAGACACUCGGCCAACCAUGCGACGUGUGGCUCAGGAGCUUUCUAUUAGAGGGCCUUCUAUCUCUCUACAGCCAUUCCAUGCAGUUACAUUACGUCAACUGAUGGAUCUGAAGGUAUAGUUGGGUGG